GUAUACUGUGGUUAAACAAAGUAUGCAUUUCCAUAGCAACUGAAAUACAUUUCCGAACUGCACCUUUCUAAACGUAACUUCAAAAUUCCAGUACAAAAAUAUUCAAUUAAUAAAAAAUGAGCUGUUGCGCACCUUGUUGUGGACCUUGCUGUGGAUCAGUCCCACCGUGUUGUGCAAUCUGCGAACCUCCUUGUCCCCCAUUUUAUUAUGAGACUACUCCUAUAAAUUGGCCUGCUUAUUCUGGAGUCGGAGGUAUAUUCCCAUACUGCGUCUCCUCAAUGAGAUUUAUGAGCUGAUUACUGUGUGUAGUAGUUUUAAGUUGUCUUUUUGACAAGUUCGAAAAAUAUACAAUGUAAAGUCAAGAUAAUAGUGGUCGACGGUUGCAGUGAAACAAUACAUUUCUUAAUGUGAACAGUUACAAUAAACGAAAUGUAAAUCAUCA